rnacentral:snoRNA from 1 species
CCCCCCUCAGGCUCGCACCUGGAGAGUUUCCAGUCCUCUACCAGUCUCGACUAUGGGAGGAAGAGUCAAACAGAGGCAUAUCCAUUCCAUUCCUAACUUGGGCAGUGGCUAGCGAGUGGAAGGUAAUCUGCUACAAGU